GGGGAUCAAAACAUUUAGACUCUCCUGAUAUUGGCUUGCACACACUAUAAUCAAUAUCCAAAUAUCUACAUUUAGAUACAGAUCCCUUACAUUCAUACUGUGAGUGCCAGAUGAGAGUUUGGGAUAUUUGGUUACCUGUUUUAGUAGUCUCAAUGCAACUAUCGCAAUUCGGUAUGUCUGUACUCCUACCUUCCUGAAAAAUCAUAAAAAUACUAAGACACAAUAAAACACAUUAUUCCUGAAAUCCUAAUUUUUCUUCGACCGUGCGAUGGCCUCUCAGCUUCCCGAUUGUGAGGGCUGCAAGGAUGUUGUUCUUCUGAUCCUCACUUUCCUUCACAGAGAUCCCUUCAAGAUACUCUGGCUAUGACACGUAGGCAGGUGGUCAGGCUUUAUUAUGG